CAGCCUGGGGGCCAGUUAGGGUUAGCUUUGCAGGGAAUGUCUAUUUGUUCUCUUGGUACUCAUGUUAUUGGGGGGUCAGUGUAUGGGGCAUUAGGGUACCCAUAUAUUUAUACAUUCAUAUUCGGUCAUUUAAGGCGAGAUUAGGAAGGAAAUACAUUUGCUAUUAUAGAUCUACAGGAAAUCAUAACAAUAUGUUCAAAUGUCUAAACCCUUGUUUGGCGCUAAGGUGGGCCCUGACCAAUCAUCAUACACUGGCACCUAAAGGGUGUUUAACCAUUCAAUUCACUGUAGAUUCACAGCUGAUGUCACAGUGGGUUCCCAUGGCAACAUUGAUGUCUUUAGACCACCCAUGUGGUCAGCUCAUAUUGCAAAACCUUUUGCAACUAAGGGCUAAAUGCUCAAGGAAGCCUGCAGCUGAUGUCACAAUGGGUUCCCAUGGCAACACUGAUGUCACAAUAGCAGCUGUGUGUGCGUAACUGUUACAACUUGGGGAAACACUUCAGAUUGCUUUUUAGAGCAGAAACGUAACGACCAUCUACCACAAUGGCGCCCAGAUUCUGUGAUUGUAUCCUGGACUGUGUGAGAGGUGUCUGCGCACCGUUCAGGUACAAGAAGAAGAAGCCUGGAAAGUUUGCCCAUAUGGAGACGGUCGUUUACGUGGUAAAGGACGAAUCCAUAACUUUUCUCCCAACGGGGACUAGUUAUUAGGAUUCGUAGGUAAGUAGUUAGGUAAGUAAUUAGGUUAGGUUUAAAAAAAAAAAAAAAAAAA